rnacentral:rRNA from 1 species
UCUUCCGCAAUGGACGAAAGUCUGACGGAGCAACGCCGCGUGAGUGAUGAAGGUUUUCGGAUCGUAAAGCUCUGUUGUUAGGGAAGAANAAGUGCCGUUCAAAUAGGGCGGCACCUUGCCGGUACCUAACCAGAAAGCCACGGCUAACUACGUGCCAGCAGCCGCGGUAAUACGUAGGUGGCACGCGUGGUUCGGCAUUAUUGGGCGUAAAGGGCUCGCAGGCGGUUUCUUAGGUCUGAUGUGAAAGCCCCCGGCUCAACCGGGGAGGGUCAUUGGAAACUGGGGAACUUGAGUGCAGAAGAGGAGAGUGGAAUUCCACGUGUAGCGGUGAAAUGCGUAGAGAUGUGGAGGAACACCAGUGGCGAAGGCGACUCUCUGGUCUGUAACUGACGCUGAGGAGCGAAAGCGUGGGGAGCGAACAG